UAGGGAAUAUUAGAAAUGGACGAAAGUCUGAUCUAGCAACACCGCGUGUGCGAAGAAGGCCUUCGGGUUGUCAAGCACUUUUUGGAAGGAUUAGGAAGGAAUGUACUUCCAGAAUAAGUCUCGGCUAACUACGUGCCAGCAGCCGCGGUAACACGUAGGAGGCAAACGUUAUCCGGAUUUACUGGGCGUAAAGCGCGUGUAGGUGGUUCUGUAAGUAGGGCGUGAAAGCUCCUGGCUCAACUGGGAGAGGCCGUUCUAAACUGCAGAGCUAGAGGAUGGUAGAGGGAGGUGGAAUUCCGGGUGUAGUGGUGGAAUGCGCAGAUAUCCGGAGGAACACCAGUGGCGAAAGCGGCCUCCUGGACCAUUCCUGACACUCAGACGCGAAAGCUGGGGUAGCAAACG
rnacentral:rRNA from 1 species